rnacentral:rRNA from 1 species
UACAGAGGUGGCAAGCGUUGUUCGGAUUUACUGGGCGUAAAGGGCGCGUAGGCGGUGCGUUAAGUCCUGUGUGAAAUCCCCCGGCUCAACUGGGGAACUGCACAGGAAACUAGCGGGCUUGAGUUCGGGAGAGGGAAGCGGAAUUCCGGGUGUAGCGGUGAAAUGCGUAGAUAUCCGGAGGAACACCGGUGGCGAAGGCGGCUUCCUGGACCGACACUGACGCUGAGGCGCGAAAGCUAGGGGAGCAAACGGG